ACGCCGCGUGAGUGAAGAAGGUUUUCGGAUCGUAAAGCUCUGUUGUUGGUGAAGAAGGAUAGAGGUAGUAACUGGCCUUUAUUUGACGGUAAUCAACCAGAAAGUCACGGCUAACUACGUGCCAGCAGCCGCGGUAAUACGUAGGUGGCAAGCGUUGUCCGGAUUUAUUGGGCGUAAAGCGAGCGCAGGCGGAAGAAUAAGUCUGAUGUGAAAGCCCUCGGCUUAACCGAGGAACUGCAUCGGAAACUGUUUUUCUUGAGUGCAGAAGAGGAGAGUGGAACUCCAUGUGUAGCGGUGAAAUGCGUAGAUAUAGGGAAGAACACCAGU
rnacentral:rRNA from 1 species